CAGAUGACCAAAUUGUCGAUCUUAUAGUACUAGAAAAACUUGUAUAAAUUGACUCCCACUGUAAAAUAAAGUGUUAUAGAUUGUUCUGUAUCCACGCAGAUUGAAUGAGUUCUCACAAUUUGUAUCGAGUGUGUUGUAACUGUGUUUUUUAAAUCACAUUUUUAUAUCACAGGACAAUGUCGUGAAACGAAACACAGAGGGAAUAUGCGGAAUGUGUGUCAGAGGGUAGAGAGAAUGAGGAGAAGAGGAAACUGGAGUAUUAAAGUAUGCUCAUGAGGACUGUGUGGCAUUACACUAAAAUUCCCAAAAAUCUUGUCAAAAGAUAUCAAGGGACUAUUUUGUCUUAUGUAUUUUUGCUCAACUUGACAGACGGCAGAG